GAUGAAGAACGCAGCGAAAUGCGAUAAGUAAUGUGAAUUGCAGAAUUCAGUGAAUCAUCGAAUCUUUGAACGCACCUUGCGCCCUUUGGCUAUUCCGAAGGGCAUGCCUGUUUGAGUAUCAUGAACACCUCAACUCUCAUGGUCUGCCAUGAUGAGCUUGGACUUUGGGGGUCUUGCCGGCCUAUGGGUCGGCUCCUCUCAAAUUAAUCAGCUUGCCAGUGUUUGGUGGCAUCACAGGUGUGAUAACUAUCUACGCUUGUGGUUUUCCAUCAGGUAACCUUCAGUGAUGGAGGUUCGCUGGGGCUCAUAAAUGUCUCUCCUCAGUGAGGACAGCUUUUUUGAACGUUUGAUCUCAAAUCAGGUAGGACUACCCGCUGAACUUAAGCAUAUCAAUAAGCGGAGGA
rnacentral:misc_RNA from 1 species